rnacentral:rRNA from 1 species
UUCUGGCUCAGGAUGAACGCUAGCGGCAGGCUAACACAUGCAAGUCGAGGGGCAACGCGAGUAGCAAUACUUGGCGGCGACCGGCGCAAGGGUGCGUAACGCGUGAGCAACAUGCCCGUAUCAGGGGGAUAAUCCAGGGAAACUUGGUCUAAUACCCCAUAGUAAUUUUGUAAGGCAUCUUAUAAGAUUUAAAGCUUUUGGUGGAUACGGAUUGGCUCGCGUGACAUUAGCUGGAUGGUAAGGUAACGGCUUACCAGUGGCUAUGAUGUCUAGGGGUUCUGAGAGGAAGGUCCCCCACACUGGAACUGAGACACGGUCCAGACUCCUACGGGAGGCAGCAGUGAGGAAUAUUGGACAAUGGAUGGAAAUCUGAUCCAGCCAUGCCGCCGUGAAGGAAGAAGGUCCUAUGGAUUGUAAACUUCUUUUGUAUGGGAGCAAUAAGGCCUACGAGUAGGUUGAUGAGAGUACCAUACGAAUAAGCACCGGCUAACUCCGUGCCAGCCGCGGC